AGAAAGGACUCACUGCUACGCUUGG
rnacentral:piRNA from 1 species